AAUAAUAAUAAUAAUAAUAAUAAUAAACCCAGUCUAAAACCUAUCUAAAACAUUUAGUAAGUUAAAUAGUUUAAAAAUGCCAUUGUAUACAUAGGACUAGAUCACAAAUGCGCUGUUUGAUUCAAGACAAUUAUUGCCUUGGAAAAGAAACUGUUUCUCAGUCUAUUAGUCCUCAUUUUAAGACACCUACAACGUCUCCCUGAUGGUAAGAGUUUGAAA